CGGGCCGGUAGAGUAGGCGGGUCGUCAUCAUGCGCGUACGAGGGAAAGCCGGUGCGAAUCCGGCGCUGACCCGCAGCCGUGAUCCGCGCGCCUCCCCACCUGUGCGCGGUGAGCCGGAACGCCUCCCGCCGCAUGACCGGCUCG
rnacentral:ncRNA from 1 species